GCCGAAGUGGUGGAAUUGGUAGACACGCUAUCUUGAGGGGGUAGUGGACAACCGUCCGUGGGGGUUCGAGUCCCCCCUUCGGCA
rnacentral:tRNA from 1 species